UCAAUAACUGACAGUAACAAGACUUCUGCCAGAGAUAACAGAUUCCUAGAAGUGCCAGGCCCCCUACAACACCCAGCCCAAGCACAGGAGAGCUACUCACUGGAAAAAAAAUGCAGACAACUGGAAGUGCUAAGUAGGAGCUGCUCAGCAGGAUCAGUCAAGAUCAAACCACUUCAACAUUUAGGCCAAAAGUUAAUGUAGUUUUAAGGUCCCUUGAAAUGUUGUGAAUAUCAUUGACAAACAUGGCAAGAGUCACUCAUGAAAAUGCAUUUCAGCUCUGUGCACAAAAAAAUCAAUCAGCUCUGUCUCAGACUCCUUCAAAGACUGUGAACCCAAUUGUUUGUUCCCUGAGGAUUCAAAGCUUUUACUGCAACUAACACAUCUGCUUAGUGUUUCCUACUUUUCAGCAUCACAAGGAGUUUUUCUUAGACCUUGGGCUGGUUUACUCAGCAUCUAUGUCAGUCAAACUCAUACACAAAUGAGGAAAGAUUCUUCAUGUUUCCCACAGCUCUGAAGAAAACAGACACAGAAAUUAUGUCUGGACUGGAGGUCUCACCAGAACACACAGUAUAUGUUCUCAUCCUAAGCCUUUCCCUGCAGAGCAUGAACUCCUUACAGUUGUUGGUUUGUUCUUCAAGAACCCAAGCUCAGUUUACAAUGUCUGUCUGGGAAAGCUCUACCGCCCAAGGAAAGACCAGCCUACCUUCUCAUGGGAUCAAACAGAAGAGAUGGGAACUAAUUAAGGGGACAUUUGGAUCAGCUUGUAAACAUAAGGACGCCCCAAAGAGCACCCAAAGCAGAAACCUGGAUGCAAAUGUCUGCGGUCUUGGAGCAAAACAUGGAUGCAGAUUCCAAUCCCCAUUUUACACUGGAAGUUCAUUUCUAACCUGUGCAGACACAAGCUUUAGGCCCAGCUCUGCAUUCCUUCCACGCCCAGGGUUGGAGUUCUGCCUGAAUAAGGAAUGCAAGAGAGAAAUGAAUUCCUUAUCGGCCUGGCAGAUCUUGUUUGGUGAUGUACAUGCCUGUGAACCUGCCAGAACUCAAAUGUGGGACAUGGCACCCAGCCGAGCUCCAGAGCUGAGAGACUGCAAACCACUACUCUACUCUCUAGGACACUUGAAAUAAAGUAGAACUAUUUCCAUAAGUAACUGCUCCUAACUCCAGGAUACCUGGGUAUACUCUGAUACUUCUGUUAGAAACAACUUUCAUCAAUGGAAAAGUGAAGAUCCCAGAUUUGGAUAAAAAUGAGUAACAAAGGGAAUAAAUUGUGUAUUUCCAAAAUGAUGGGCA
rnacentral:lncRNA from 1 species